UUCUACAGGUGGUGCUCUGCCUACACGC
rnacentral:piRNA from 1 species